rnacentral:tRNA from 1 species
GCCCCCUUAGCUCAGUGGAUAGAGCAACGGACUUCUAAUCCGUGGGUCGCAGGUUCGAAUCCUGCAGGGGGUG